CCACGUCCAGGGUGCGCAGGCGGGAGAGGCAGGAGAGGGAGUCAGGCAGGUGCGCCAGCCGGUUAAAGCUGACAUCCAGCUCCUCCAGGCCUUUUUCUGGAUCCAGGAGCGAAUCAACUAAGAAAGAGCCUAGCACCCUUUUAAGUCCGGAAACCAAGACAAGUAUCCAGAAAAGGAGAAACAUGGGCCGGGCGCGGUGGCUCACGCCUAUAAUCCCAGCACUUUGGGAGGCCGAGGUGGACGGAUCACAGGGUCAGGAGAUUGAGACCAUCCUGGCUAACAUGGUGAAACCCCGUCUCUACUAAAAUACAAAAAAAAAAUUAGCUGGGCGUGGUUGCGGGCGCCUGUGGUCCCAGCUAUUCGGGAGGCUGAGGCAGGAGAAUAGCACCAACCCGGGAGGCGGAGCUUGCAGUGAGCAGAGAUUGCGCCACUGCACUCCAGCCUGGGCAACACAGACUCCGCCUCAAAAAAAAAACAAAAAACAAAAGGAGAAAUACAGGAUGUUUUACAGUGCUUGUGGUGCUUGAUUUUUAUAUCUUGUCAUUAAGCUAUGCCUUUAUUUCUUUUGUGUUAAACCUCUA